AGCAGGAAAGAAGAUACUGUCAGUUCACAACUUCCUGGAGGUGAUGGCUGCUGUGCUAGAAAUGCUGACAACUACAAGAGUGUUAUAUUGUGUUUCCAUCAGUACAAAUACUGAUUAGACAAGCUGUGAUUCUGACUGUGCAUAAAAUGUUCAUUUCUACGCACCCAGCAAGCCUAUACAGAGUUGAUACUCACUUGGAGAGCAUCUGAGGAAUCUGCAGCUGUGACUGUAAUUGCACACUCAAACCUUAUGGUAAAUUAUCAGAAUUCUGCAGCAUUGCUCUAAGUUGGUGAGGAAUUGAUGAGGCUGGCUGAGAAAAACAGGAGUUGAAACCCUUGCUUAUCUUUGCAGCUGGCUUCAGCAAAGCCUAAUGAUUGAAGGAUCCUCCACAGAAAGAACAGGGAUCUGUCACAGGCAUCACAAUGGGGCUACAUUGAAGCACAGAGAGAGGUGUGACCACUCUAAGAAGGUCUGUACUAUUUUCUGCAUAGACUCAUAAACCAGUUGUAACUGCAAAUACUUGUACUGCAUGGUGCACUUGUGUUUAGACAGGAGGUUGACAUCAGGUUAACACAAUUUGAGAACAGGAGAAAACUGUACACAAGUAAAUGGAGAAGUUGAUCCAGGUGUGGAGGAAUGCCAGAUGGAGAGUAAUAGGCAGCAGAACUGCUCAUCGGAAACAUACAUGGAUUCAGCAUGACCCUGUUUCCUGCAGGACUCUGAUGAGUACAGCACUGAAACAGGUGAGAUGACUCAGAGACAGCUUCUUGGAUAUAUUUGUCAGUGCUACUGUGGAAAGCCAGAAGCCAGCAGGAAGGUUAGAACGGUUUCUUUGUUGGUGUUCAGAUGUAACAGAGGUCAUUCCUUCUCCUCUUGAUAUAAUCUGGCAGUGGGUAUAAAGCCAUUUCCUGAAACUAUGUGUGCCCUAGUGACUCAUUAGUUUUACACUGGUUUCCUUUAAAAAAAGUGAGUUCUAAGGCAAAAGAUUAAACACUUCUAAGGCAAUUGUAGGUUCAUUUUGACUCAUUGGUCUGUUUUUAAAUGUCUUCCAAGCCUUUUCUUUGUUAGUCGUGUUAGUUUAAGAGGUGUACAUUGAUGUUAGAACCUGGGCAUCAUAAUUAUCACUGCCUUCUAGAACUAGGUUUGGGGUUUUGUUUUGGUUUUGUUUCUUUGAGUUUUUUCCAGUCAUGAACAUUCAUAAAUUUCCAUGUAUUUUUUUUUUUUCACCAGAGUCACGGUUUAACCACAUUACUAUUCUCAUACUUAAUUCAAAACACAGCACUUAUUGGCUACUAAGAAGAAAAUUAGUAGCUGAAAAUUAACCCAGCUGAAACGAAGACACAUGAAGGAAAAUACCACAUAAUUCUAGAAAAGCUCCUCUUUGGAAGGAGAUAGGCAAGUUACAGUUGUAAUAUGGAGCAGAAGCUGGUGAUUUGCCCCCUCAAAAAAUAUUUCUAGAAAAAGUGUCUUGGAUUCAGGUACACAUAUAUAUAGCAUCACUAUAUUUCUAAGUUCUUGAACAGAUCUUGCCUUCUAUGGACUUAAACUUUUUCUUGCCAACAAUAUGGCAGUCUCAAAAUUAAAAAUAUCUUGUCAUCUGUUUGUUUAAGAUCAAAGGCAAAUUUUAAAUGAACUGGUAGGAUACUCUAGUAUUAACAUGAUGGUGUAGGAAUGGCAUUCCCCAAUUUAGUGCUCCCACUUGAAACUCAAAACCACACCAUGUUGGUCCACUCCCCCUUCCCUCUCUGCCUCCAUGCUGCAGCGGAUUGGAGCGAAGAACUGGAGGCACAAAAGGCAAAGCUCACUGGCUGAAAUAAGCAAAUGAACAGCAACAAAAACAAUAUUAAUAAUAAAAGCAUAUAAAAGAGAGAGUGCAGAGCUUGACCUGACCACAGUCACACCAUGCUGACCAUUCAUUCUACUCAGAAUCAGCUUUACCUCACUGCUCCAUCCAUCACGCUUGCUCAACCAGCAGGAACCUGUUCUCCCCUGGAAGCAAGAGAGUUUCUUCCCCCUCCCUGCCCUCAGCAAUGUCUGAGGUGGUGUGGAAUAACUGCCAGGUCCUGGCCACACCACCUCCCCUUUACUGCAAAAUUUAACCCUGUCCUAGUUGCAACCAGGACAGGGUGAAAUUGGUCUUAGCAUUCCACAUUCUCUCUUCCCCGCCUCUUGAUGCUGGAUAUUUAUAAGAGAGAGCUGUUCAUUUUUAAGGAUCUUAUGUUGGGUUUAAAGUUAAUCAGUUCCCACUUGCUAGCAUGCUUAUACUGGAAACUGCCAAGGAAAACCCAUUUGCUUCAGUUAAAAGACUAGAUUUUUUUUCUCCAUGCUUUUCAUUGUAAAAACUUUGAUUUAAAGAGACCUUGAAUUAUUUUGUAAAAGGAAAAAUUGCAUCAAUGUCCAGUACUAUUCUGCUUCAUACAUGCAUCCCUUACAGAAUGCAUGACUUUGAAUGAGAGUUUUCCUCCAUUAGAAAUUAAGUACUGUGAUCAUUUGUCUGUGGCAGAAAUAAUUUUUUACACAUUUGUUGUAGCAUUCCUCAGCUAUGAUGUUCAUACCAACACUAUAUAUUUAGGCAUGCCAUGAUAAAAGAGAACCACCCAUGAAAUAUUACCUAUGUGAGAGACCCACUGAGGGUCCAAUUAGGAACAUACAAGUCUGUUCAUGGAUGAAUAUAUAUAUAUAUAGUGACGUAAUGGUCAUAAAAAUAGCUAAGCCUUCCUUGGUUUGGAUUCUUCAAACAUGCACGUUUUCAUAUGUAUAUUAACCCAAGUUUAUUUCAUGCAAGUAAGGUGAGCACACUAGUACAUAGGCACAGUAGUUAAUUGACUGACCAGGCCUGGUAGCUUACAAAGUAAGUCUCUUCAGAAGUCACUCAUGAGAGCCUUAUUCUAAGUAUUUAAUACUACUUUGUAAUACUACUGUGCAGGCAUGCAGCUGUGAAAGGAAUUUGAAUAUAUAAUUUUCUGCUUACAGAUGCAAUAAUGUAAUGCAGGAGAGUAUGCAGUGUGCAAGGCUGCAUUGGCUUUCUUGCCUCUCAGGAGAGUAAGUUAGAGGAACACGUUGUUAGAACUGAACUGUUUGGAACAAUGGGAUUUCACAACAGAGAUGACAUUGCAAAGGCAUCCUGAAUUGGUAAAUACAUAUCUUGACUUAUUUAACUACACAUUUCUACUUUAAUUACAAAAUACACAGAAGUAGAAUUGCAGGGACAUUGGCAAAUAGUCCUUCUUACUCUUCUGCAUUCUAUUCUCAGCUGUAAUUCAGCCUUGCUGUAGAAGAAAAAUCAUUUCACACCUCAUCAUUCAGUGACGUAUCUUCCAUGCAGUCAUUCUCUUAGCCACUACCACUCGGUGUUUAUAUGAGCUAAGGGGAAGGCUAAGCAUUUUCUUGUAAGGACUCUGCCAGAGUUUGGGUUUGGGAGACACAGAAAUAAUUUCAUGGGUGCAGUGUUGCACAGUACUCUUUGUUCUUAACUCUUCUGACUUUGUCUGAUGGACUACUUCCCUUAUGGCUCUCACUUCCUUCUCUCAUCAACAUUGUACUUCCUGUCUCCAAUGGUCCUUCACAACCUCUCAUUCUCUUUGCUUUUCCUGCAACCAAGCCCUUCCGUUUUUUCCCCACCAUAUAAAGCAGAUAGACGUAUACAUAUAAAGGCACACCCUGAAAUUGAAAAACGAAGACAGAAAUCAUGGAACCAAAAAUAUCAGCUACUGUUUUCCUCUAUUUUUGUCUUUUUUGUCCUUCAUGUCUGUCUUACUCUUUAGAUUUUAAGCAUUCCUUAAGCUCCAUAGUGAAAGGUAGUGCACUGUAAAACCUUAGAUAUUUUCAACAAUUCCAACAACAGAACAUUUAAGUGCAACCAUUGCAUAAAAGAACUUGAAAAUUAUUAAACUUUAUGACCUCCUUCCCUCCCACACAAACACCUUUCCUGGGUUUUUUUAACUAUUAAAAAUAAAAUAUGUGGGCAGCUGAAAAAUUCAUGUCCAUGACAUCUACUAGGCAGAAAAUAAAUUAUGGAAAAUUAGCAAUUUUCUUCAAUUGCAGAAUUAUUAAAUCCUACCUGUAUUUUUUUCUGAAGGGUUUUACAAUAAAUCCAACAUUUGUUUUAAUACAUCUUUAUAAGAUGCUGUAAUAGGAUAUUUUACCCUUCAAAUUUAAUUUUAAUUAAUAUAAUUCUAGUAUUAUUUCCAUGUCUAACCUUACUGUAGAUGCAUGCAAGUCACAUUGCAUCUUGAGACAGAAAUUGAGAAUAAAAAUAUCCCUACAGUGGUCUCUGGCCACAAAACCUUUCCUUUCCAAAACAUACAAUGAAAUUAUGAGUUAAUGUAAACGAGGAUGACUGUUGCUUUUCACAUGAAUGAAAGGCAGUUACUUUAGUUAUAUAUCCCAAAGAAAUGACCUAUUUAUUUUGUAGCUGAACAGUAAAACCAGUUUUUAACUCUUAAAGUAGAGCAACCCAGCCUAGGAUGCUCAGAAACUAGGGCAUCAUUGCUAAUUGUCUUAGUGCACAGUAUGGCAGCUUUAGUUAAAAUCCCCAGUAGCUGGCUGUUUGUGGAGAGGGUCCACAGCAGACUGAGGGUCAGAUGAAAGAGUUAACAGAAAGAAGAAGCCAGCAGGAUUCUUGUGUGUCCAUGGGAAGAAGAAAAAGAAGAUAAAGGUAGAGGAAAACAAGGAACAUCUGUGCUGAGAAAAACACCAUGGAAAAAUGAGAUCUGUCUGUAUUUUGGAUUUUUGGGGAUACUUUCUCAAAACAAUGCUUCCAUCAACGGACUUGGGGGUUAUGUGGUGAUGGCAAAUUAAAUGGGGUGCACUAUAAGGCCAGAAGGGUAUAAAAACACUGUGUACAGGCACAAUAAAAUCUUGGAUGAA